rnacentral:rRNA from 1 species
UACAGAGGGUGCGAGCGUUGUCCGGAAUCACUGGGCGUAAAGGGCGCGUAGGCGGCUUGAUAAGCGUGCGGUGAAAGCCCGGGGCUCAACCCCGGGUCGGCCGUGCGAACUGUCGAGCUGGAGCACUGUAGAGGCAGGUGGAAUUCCGGGUGUAGCGGUGGAAUGCGUAGAGAUCCGGAAGAAGACCGGUGGCGAAGGCGGCCCCCUGGGCAGUAACUGACACUGAGGCGCGACAGCGUGGGGAGCAAACAGG